UACGGGGGGGGCAAGCGUUGUUCGGAAUUACUGGGCGUAAAGGGCUCGUAGGCGGCCAACUAGGUCAGACGUGAAAUCCCUCAGCUUAACUGGGGAACUGCGUCCGAUACUGGAUGGCUUGGAUUUGGGAGAGGGAUGCGGAAUUCCAGGUGUAGCGGUGAAAUGCGUAGAUAUCUGGAGGAACACCGGUGGCGAAGGCGGCAUCCUGGACCAAUAUUGACGCUGAGGAGCGAAAGCCAGGGGAGCAAACGGG
rnacentral:rRNA from 1 species